AUUGAACGCUGGCGGCAUGCCUUACACAUGCAAGUCGAACGGCAGCGCGGGGCAACCUGGCGGCGAGUGGCGAACGGGUGAGUAAUAUAUCGGAACGUACCCUGGAGUGGGGGAUAACGUAGCGAAAGUUACGCUAAUACCGCAUACGAUCUAAGGAUGAAAGUGGGGGAUUCGCAAGAACCUCAUGCUCCUGGAGCGGCCGAUAUCUGAUUAGCUAGUUGGAGGGUAAAGCCUACCAAGGCAUCGAUCAGUAGCUGGUCUGAGGGGACGACCAGCCACACUGGGACUGAGACACGGCCCAGACUCCUACGGGAGGCAGCAGUGGGGAAUAUUGCACAAUGGGCGAAAGCCUGAUGCAGCGACGCCGCGUGAGGGAUGACGGC
rnacentral:rRNA from 1 species